rnacentral:rRNA from 1 species
UACGGAGGGGACUAGCGUUGUUCGGAAUUACUGGGCGUAAAGCGCACGUAGGCGGAUUUGUAAGUCAGGGGUGAAAUCCCGAGGCUCAACCUCGGAACUGCCUUUGAUACUGCAAAUCUCGAGUCCGGAAGAGGUGAGUGGAAUUCCUAGUGUAGAGGUGAAAUUCGUAGAUAUUAGGAAGAACACCAGUGGCGAAGGCGGCUCACUGGCCCGGUACUGACGCUGAGGUGCGAAAGCGUGGGGAGCAAACAGG